UGCCUCCAGAACCCUCAGAAGAGCAUAGACAUGUUAUAUUUUCCCAGAAGGAAAAUGCAGAAGCAACAGACUGGCGACCUGUCCUAAAUUCUUCCACAAUGUCUACUCUAAUAAGAAGAUUCUUCCUGAGACUCAGUGAAGAGCAAUGGAGGGAAGUAAGCGAGGGCAUUUACAAUGCAGAUGUGAAAAAGCAGCUGACUGAAAUGUGCACAGAUGUG